rnacentral:rRNA from 1 species
GUAAUUUUAUUAGAGAGUUCUAAUCGAAAAUAAAGUUUGCGACCUCGAUGUUGGAUUAAAAUUUAUAUUUGGUGUAGAAGCUAAAUAAUUUAAGUCUGUUCGACUUUUAAAAUUUUACAUGAUCUGAGUUUAAACCGGUGUAAGCCAGGUUGGUUUCUAUCUUUAAAUAUAUAGAAUAUUUUAGUACGAAAGGACCAAAUAUU